rnacentral:lncRNA from 1 species
AGACCACCACCGCGCACGCGCAGUCGCGAGAGCUCCAGCCGGGUCGUCGCGGCUCUAGCUAGGUACGGCGCAACGCCGAGCGCGCAUGCGCAUACGCUCUCCUCGCGCCCAAUACCUGGGCGGAGUCUCUUUGCACUGCCCUCUAGCGACGCGGGGGACUGUUGGCACGGAACCCUCCGACUCCAGAGUUGUUCCACAGGUCACAAAGAGGAUCAUCGAGAUGAGAGGAAAGAGUGUAGUCUGUGGUCGCUGAGCGUGUUGCUGCAAUACGUCGGCUGAGCUUACACCGAGCCGUUACGUGUGGAAGCCUCCCACGCAGCGCUUGCAGGCUUUAUCUACGCACACACUCUCAAAGGCAUUGGCUCUCUUCCAUGAGAAAAAGCCGGCGUGAGGACGCACACGUUUAAUCCCAGCAGCACUGGGGGAGUUCGAGGCAAACCGACCUCUGAAUUCGGGGCCAGCAUGAGGAACAUAAGGAAUUCCAAUGACCAAGGCUAUGUAGGGAAAUCCUGUCUGGGGAAAACCAAAUAAAGACAAGAGACAUUUCCAGGAGAAC